ACGCAUCUUUCAAGGACUCACACAUUUCUCCUCCCAGCCAGGACUCCUGCAGGUCUUUGCUCUCACUGAUAACUUUAAUUUUAACACACACAAGCUCGAGGGAGGUGUUCAGCGAUGCUUAAGCAACGCAGCUUUUCUCCCUCCUCCUCCUUCUUUUCUCCUUCCCCCUCCACGUUUCCAAGCUGGCUCCACUUUGGUGGAUUUUCAUGGGAACUGCAAGAGGAGACAUCUGCCAGACGUCAAAUCACUGCUCCCAGGAGUGGGGGCAUGGCAGCUUUAAAGGCCAACGGUCACCGUGCUUUUAUUUUUCUUUUUUUUUUCCUUCUUUAUUUUCCUUUUUAAUCGUUGGAGCUGUCUCUGUUCUCAGCCUCGUUCUCCAAAGCAGCUGAGCCGUUUUCACUGGAGCCUUCCCCAAAAGCGCAACUCCUGGCUGACAAUUAGGGGACAACAAAACAAAAGCAAAUGAAAACAUUUUUUUUUCCUCUCUUUUCCUCUCCUUACCCACCUUUACCUGCAGUUUUUGUUUAGUUUCAUUAUCCUAUUUAGGCCCUGUAGCCCUUUUGGAAGAAAACCUCACCAUUUUACCCAUCCAUAGGAGUUCCGCAGCACCCAAACACCUCUUUGCAAACCAAAACAUCCAUUUUCGUCGUGAAGGUACCAGUUUUACACAAGGCACCCUAACAGGCAUGUUUUAAGCCAAAUUCUCUUCAAACAUCCUGCAUCACAGCAGGGCAUCAGAGCAAGAAGAUAAAACGCUUGUUGUGACACGCAGCAUUUCCAUAAUCAGGGCUUUGCAUCAUCCACGAGCUCUUUUUUUUCUUUGGAAAGUCUCCAGGAGCCCCUGGAAAAAAUCCCAGACACCUUGCUGCCUCCCAUCACCUGCUGCCUUUAUCUACGCCCCAAAUCCAAGCUGCACAAAAUCCCAUAUUGCCCAAAAUCCCAUACUGCACGAAAUCCCACACUGCACAACCCUGUGGCACCCUGACCAGGGACCAGCUGGUAAAUUCUCCGGGUGUUUAUGGUGGAGCACGUGUGCUUCUGUGCGGGUACACUCGAUUUCCAACAUUAUAGGGGAUUUUUAUAAGGGAUUUCUCGGAGUGCAUCCCAUUUUCAGGCAAAACCAGCCAGCAACUUUACGGCCACUGAGCUACCUGGGCACAGGGAGAGCUCCAAAUUCUUUGCUAUCAACACAUUUCCCAUAUUAAUCUUCCCCAAAUGAUCCAUAGAGGAAAUUUAUGGGUGAUGCUCUAUUAAAAGCCCCGCUAACUCUUGCUCUAAACCUAUAAAAAAAGUACCUACGCCUUGAGAGAUUGUACACGGGGAAGGACAAUCUGUUUUCGUCUGUGUUUGAGAGCACGUUUUUGCAAAUUUAAACUAAAAUAGCUCCCAGAUGGAAGCCGUAUCAUUCCAAACUCAACCUUAAAAACACUUCUUUUUAAAAAAAAUAUAUAUUUAAAAUGCAAAGCUUCGGGAAAUUUGGCCCCACGGAAAGGCUGGCACUUCGCGUCCUCGGAGGCGCGGCGUAACGAGCCUCGGGAUUUUGUUUUUGGGUGAAAGAUUGGAAUAAUAGGGCAAAGUUAGCGGCAGCGAAGUUUGCCCUCUUGCUACAAUGCGUGCAGCAGACUGUGGAAAAUGUCUUUACAAAGCUCCAGGCAUCCACAGAAGCAGCCGGAGUGGGGAGCGGAUUCCCUCACCCUCCAUCCACUGACUGUAAGCAGCUUUCUUCUGCGGAUCAGUAAAAUAUGUGAUAUUUAUGAUUUAAAGAGCCCCGUGUAGAUGUAACACGGCUUUAAUGCUCUUCCAAGUCACAGCUUUUUCCCGUCUAAAGCUUGAAUUUAGCUUCACAUUUGCAUCAGCGCUGCGUAAUGCAGACGACGGCGCGGCUCAGCCCUUCCUGCUUGUUCUGCUGCAGGAGAGGGAACAAAAAAUGAGGCUUUUUCCCAAGAAAACUGACAUGGAAAUGUAGAGAAUGGGAGGAGAUAGGGGAGACGAAAGCAGGAUCUUUGCUUAUUUCGGACAGGGCAGGAGUGCAGUCAGCACCUGGCUUUUUUUGGCUUCUUCCAGGUGUUGGAGGGGUUUUAUGUAUGCAGCAGGUGGGAUGGAUAAAGGUGGAAAUGGUUUGACCCGCAGGAUCCCAGGGAUGGAAAGGUCAGCCCCUCAAAGCCCCCAGCAGAGUCAGAAAGCAUCACCAAAGCUCUCACUCUGCCUGCUGGAGGAGAAAAACCUGGCCGUGACGGAGAGAGAGGCAGGAGGGGAAGAGAAAAGGUUUGGUUGUACGAGGAAUGCAAAACCAGGGGGGGAAAUUGGGCUGUCAACACGAGCCAGGCCCACCUGGCUGGCAGAAGUUCUCCCUUUCCUAAAAACUUCAGGCAAGAGUCAGGAGCAGAAACCUUAUUCCACACUUGGUCCCUCCUAAAAUUCAUUCUCUGCAGGGCACUGAGCAAGAUCUGGGCACUCCUGGCACAGCUUGGCCAGAAAGUGCAGCUUUCAGCAUCAAUUUCUGCUAGCUAGAAAGCCCCCAGAAUAAUGAGAGAUAUUUAAUGUGGCGAUUUCAGAGCUGAUUAAUAACCCUGUGGCACUUUCAGAUAGGUAAUCUCAGAACGAUCGAGAUAAAGGCGAUGGGGCUGGAGCAUACGAUAAAGUCGCUGAACACUGACCCCAGAAAGGGAGCUGGGAAAGAUUUCCCCAGAAAUCUGCCCCGUUUUUGCACCUCCAAACACACACGCGGAGGAUCAGAGGUAUUUAAUAUCUGUAUUUGAGAGCAGCAGAGCUUUUUUAUUAAGGGCACAGAGCAGAACCGAGUCCUGGGCACUGGAGAUGGUUUAGUGGAGGUGCUGAGGUGGUGACCAGUAAAAGAGGAAAGGAAUAAGUGGAGUCCUGGGUGAGAAGGAGCACCUUCUCCUCUAACCAGGUGAUAGAGAUCAGGUGAUUAUGAUUAUUAGGUGAUAUGAUAGAGAAUUAUCUGUACCCGAGGCAGGGAUCCACCUCUGGUGGGAAAUACCUGCAGCCACACGCAGUUGGCUCCGGGCUCUGCCCUCUCCUACAGGCAGCCAGAGAGGCUGGGAAGGAUCCUCACACACAUUUGGGACGCUUCAAACUGAUUUUCUAACAUAACGGCAAGAAAAAAGGUCACAGGUUAAAAGAAAAAGUCAUUUAGGACAGCGAGUUGUGGGGAAAGGGGGAAUUUAGGACUUCCCCAGCCAUAAUUUUGGUCAAAUUUCUCUGCGGUUCAAACCUGUUCAGCACAGCCUUGAUGUUUCCAGCCGCUCACGGAGAUACAAGCAGCCCCACCAAGCCUGCUGGGCCACGGGAAGGGGAACUGGGGACGGCGAAGCUCAGGCUGCCAGCGUGAGAACUGGGCUGAUAAAGCCACGCUGCAGUUAACGAGGAUUUCCUGCCUCUGAAGCUGCAGAAACAGGGGUGGGUUUUUUCUUAGAAAUUAACUCAAAAACAGCGGUAUGGUGAGCGCAAGUCGCGGGAGAAGGAAGCGCAAACCAAACAGGAAAAAAAUGGGGUGAGAGCACGGCACACAGCUUCUGCCUUGGGUCUGAUCCUGCCUCCAGCCCCAAAUUGGGAUGCCUCAGAGGCUCAUCCCAUCACCCAGCAGUUGAACGCAGCCCCUGUGCUGAAAGCUUCUUGUUCCCGACGCUGGCCCCAAACCCAAAACGCUGCACAGGGACCCACAACAGCCUCAAAACCAAACCAGCCCGAGCAGAAGCCAGCAGUCAUUAAAAGCUCAAAACCCUUAACCCAGACGCUCGCGGGGUCUAAAAAAUAUAAAAAAAUAUCAAGUUUUUUAUGCUCUAAAGCUUCUGCUCCAUCAUUUCAAACCGCAGUGAAACCUAAGCCGUGAUUCUGAAGACAGCGAGGACCGAGGAGGUGUUUCAGUGAGCAUCACAUCGAUAAACUGAUGACAAUAAGUUUGAUUUCAAGCCAACGAGGUCACGCCAGGUACCACCCGCUGGCAUCCAGUUUUAAGAGAAGUUUUGCUGCUUGCUUGGCUGCAGAUUGCCUGGGAAACGUGCUGGAGAUUUCCCCUAUGCAAGACGAGAGAUCUUCCUUACUACUGCCUCAGCGCACAACCAGGAGCACAAUUACGACAACCUGCAGAUGCUGGGAAGCAAUAAUUAAGUGAAUUAAGGCAAGGAAGAGCUAAACCAUUUGCCCAGGGCCACCGAAGGCAGUGACAGAGGAAUUAGGGGUGUUUAGGAGCCUCCUGCUCACAGCCUGGUCCCGAAGCCCUAACACAACCCCCACGGGACCACCUCCAAUCACCCUGGAGAUGGGCUAACUAAUUAACAGGGAGCCACGGGAUGUAAGCGAGCAGUUGGGUGUUUAAAUUAAUUACUUCUGCCUCAAAAGCAUCCCAAAAUUAGAGCUUCUCCUUGCAGCAUGCCCCUACAACAGCUCGUUACCUGCACCCAGCCCCCGGGGCGGCUCUCCGUAGGAGAUUUCCUUGGGAGAGGUUUCCGGCAGCACAGCGCGUUUUCGAUAUUAGGAUGUAAUAAAAAAAAAAAAAAAGAAAGAAGGAAAUUCGUGAAUUGGCUGCAGCAAUUUGAGAGAUUUGUGGCCAUAGCAACGUUACUACGAGCCGUGCUGCAGGGAGCAGCAGCCGCUUGGCUCCUCUUGUUCCCUACUCUCUGCACACCCCACGAGGGUCUGGUGAACCUCUCGCGACGCAUCCGUUUGGUGCCCAGCCGAGGACCUAACAGGGCUCUGAGCUCCCCUCGGGCCCGCAGGCACUCUGAGAAAGAGAAAAAAAGAAAUCAAAACACCGAGAAACGAAGCCACG